UCCACUUAAUCAUUAACCCGUAGCCGUUUGGACUUCAACCUGUGCCAGACUCAGUCAGAGUGCAAGUGCACGUACGCCCUAGCUCCAACUGAAGUCAUCUGACAGGAUUUUCUGCAAGGAUUUUCAGCAGGAAGGUUGGGAAAAAAAGAUGGCCGGUGUGCUCCGAGGCAGCGUCUCGCGUCUUCUCUCCACAACAGACGCCCUACCCGUCAUGAAAGCGGGGAUACAGUCCGAAGCGGCUAAGAACGUCGUGACCAAGAAAGAGCUGAUCAUAGGCGGGCUUGUCAUGGUGACGGGGAUCGGAGCCAUCCCAGCCUGGGUCACCUUCAACAUUCCCAAGUGGUCGUCACAGCCCAAGCAGUAAAAGCCGGCCCUGAUGAUGAAAGCCAAGGCAACAGCCACCACAAGGCCACUGCUGUGUGAUGACGUGUCAGCAAGAGCUGCUUAGUUCAAGUCCUAAGUGCUGCAGAUAUUUUGCGUAUUCCUGCGCAUGUAAUAUCACACUGAUUAAUACUGUAACACAGAAAUGAGUGUCUUACUGUAAAACUGAGCCUUAGACUAAAAAUUUAAAUGUGCAAUAAAAUAAAUGAAAGUCUGUCCUCA